GACGAACGCUGGCGGCGUGCUUAACACAUGCAAGUCGAACGGAAAGGCCCUGCUUUUGUGGGGUGCUCGAGUGGCGAACGGGUGAGUAACACGUGAGUAACCUGCCCUUGACUUUGGGAUAACUUCAGGAAACUGGGGCUAAUACCGGAUAGGAGCUCCUGCUGCUUGGUGGGGGUUGGAAAGUUUCGGCGGUUGGGGAUGGACUCGCGGCUUAUCAGCUUGUUGGUGGGGUAGUGGCUUACCAAGGCUUUGACGGGUAGCCGGCCUGAGAGGGUGACCGGCCACAUUGGGACUGAGAUACGGCCCAGACUCCUACGGGAGGCAGCAGUGGGGAAUAUUGCACAAUGGGCGGAAGCCGGAUGCAGCAACGCCGCGUGCGGGAUGACGGCCUUCGGGUUGUAAACCGCGUUCGCCUGUGACGAAGCGUGAGUGACGGUAAUGGGUAAAGAAGCACCGGCUAACUACGUG
rnacentral:rRNA from 1 species